rnacentral:rRNA from 1 species
UGGGGAAUAUUGGACAAUGGGCGGAAGCCUGAUCCAGCAACGCCGCGUGAGGGAUGACGGCUUCGGGUUGUAAACCUCUUUCAGCAUAGACGAAGUCUUGCCUUUUUGGGUGGGGUGACGGUAUGUGCAGAAGAAGGACCGGCCAACUACGUGCCAGCAGCCGCGGUAAU